ACCUCUCGUAUUUCAAAAAUCAUUAAUACUAGCAGCCAAAUCGAGGCUCGAAAUAGCACAUGACAACUUUUUACGUCCAAUGUGACAGACCACGUGACAAUAUGCACGUCAGGCCACCUUGAACUUUGGAGUGGGGGGCAACUAUUGGGACAAUUCAACCGACCCUCGAUUCCGACUCUAGAUCAACUUUAUAAACACAAUAUGCCGACUAACAAUCAGUUGACCAUCCAACAGUCAGCUAUUCUCAGCCAUCAACGGACAACCACGACAACUCGAUUAAUAUCCGAUCGAUGAUCAUCAGCAUAUCAGAGUUAUCAACUAAUACUCAUUCGGAUCUCCACGACUACCGACAUAUAGUCGGCUUAUCUUCUCACGAUCACAUAAUGCCGGAAUGUGCGGAAUCCACAUGUCUAACCGUUAUAAACGGUUAUCAACUAUGUGUCACGAUUAUUAGUGGGCAUAAACAGUCUAUUAACUCCAUGAUUAUGGCCCAAUAAUUAGGGUAAUUAUCCUUUAGUGCCAUAAAAAGUGGGACCACGUGCUCGACAGUUAUAUUUGAAUCACCUAUAAAAGAAAAGUAAAUGAACAGCAUUGGUAAGGUACUUCUGGGCUGAGACUCUACCACAUUCAAAAUUCUUAUUUACUGUUCACCAUUCUCUACUAACU
rnacentral:lncRNA from 1 species